rnacentral:rRNA from 1 species
UAACACGUGGGUAACCUGCCUGUAAGACUGGGAUAACUCCGGGAAACCGGGGCUAAUACCGGAUGCUUGAUUGAACCGCAUGGUUCAAUUAUAAAAGGUGGCUUUUAGCUACCACUUACAGAUGGACCCGCGGCGCAUUAGCUAGUUGGUGAGGUAACGGCUCACCAAGGCAACGAUGCGUAGCCGACCUGAGAGGGUGAUCGGCCACACUGGGACUGAGACACGGCCCAGACUCCUACGGGAGGCAGCAGUAGGGAAUCUUCCGCAAUGGACGAAAGUCUGACGGAGCAACGCCGCGUGAGUGAUGAAGGUUUUCGGAUCGUAAAACUCUGUUGUUAGGGAAGAACAAGUACCGUUCGAAUAGGGCGGUACCUUGACGGUACCUAACCAGAAAGCCACGGCUAACUACGUGCCAGCAGCCGCGGUAAUACGUAGGUGGCAAGCGUUGUCCGGAAUUAUUGGGCGUAAAGCGCGCGCAGGCGGUUUCUUAAGUCUGAUGUGAAAGCCCCCGGCUCAACCGGGGAGGGUCAUUGGAAACUGGGGAACUUGAGUGCAGAAGAGGAGAGUGGAAUUCCACGUGUAGCGGUGAAAUGCGUAGAGAUGUGGAGGAACACCAGUGGCGAAGGCGACUCUCUGGUCUGUAACUGACGCUGAGGCGCGAAAGCGUGGGGAGCGAACAGGAUUAGAUACCCUGGUAGUCCACGCCGUAAACGAUGAGUGCUAAGUGUUAGAGGGUUUCCGCCCUUUAGUGCUGCAGCAAACGCAUUAAGCACUCCGCCUGGGGAGUACGGUCGCAAGACUGAAACUCAAAGGAAUUGACGGGGGCCCGCACAAGCGGGGGA